rnacentral:rRNA from 1 species
UACGGGGGGAGCAAGCGUUGUUCGGAUUUACUGGGCGUAAAGGGCGCGUAGGCGGCCACCGCAAGUCGACUGUGAAAUCUCCGGGCUUAACCCGGAAAGGUCAGCCGAUACUGCGGGGCUAGAGUGCAGAAGGGGCAACUGGAAUUCUCGGUGUAGCGGUGAAAUGCGUAGAUAUCGAGAGGAACACCUGCGGCGAAGGCGGGUUGCUGGGCUGACACUGACGCUGAGGCGCGGAAAGCUAGGGGAGCGAACGGG